AGGCCCGGGCGGCGCACGCGCGCCCUGAGGUGGCCCGCGCGCCACCACUUCCGCCCCAGCGGGAGGCGGCGGAGGCGGCGAGUGCCGGUGGGCGCCGGCGUGCGCAAGCCAGGUCCUCGGAGGGGUCGGCGGCGGCUGCGCGAGCCCGCCACUCACCAGAACUUCCCUGGACCAGGAAUCGAACCUGCACCCCCUGCAGUGGAAGCACGGAGUCUUAACCCCUGGACCACCAGGGAAGUCCCUGAUCACUUGAUAUUUAAUCAGGUUCUGCAUCUUCUGCCAUCCCCCGGGGUGACAUCUGAUAUCCGUGGCCUGCCUUCAGCUAGAGUCCUGUUAGGCUUACCCAGAACCCCCCUGUGCUUCUUCUGUUAAAAACAAGACUACAGGCCCAAAAUGAAGUCGCUUGGGAAGCCCCGUGUCACCAAACCUAAACUUGAUGGUAGUUUCAGCUCUCCCAGAAAUGGACUUUAAAGGAGGAAAUCAAGAAUCACUAUCACCACUGGUUAGGUGAUCUGCCUGAUAGACCCCUGCCCUCGACCCUGCAGUAACCAGUUCACUUCUCUGCCUGGGAUAACUCCCUUGUUCCAACUCCCUACUGCCUGUAAGUCUUUCGUUUUGUGUAGCUUCUUGGAGCUCCUGUCCAUCUGCCCAAUACAUGAAUCGUUUAAUAAAGCCAAUAAGAUCUUUAAAUUUCA